GGACUGAUUUGGUUACAGUGUCUUCACUACAUUAGCUUAGCAUCAUUAGCUAGUUUGAGUAUAAGUACAUACACUACCAUUCAAAAGGGGUUUGGGGUUAAUCAAAAUCAAUCUUAGCAUCAUUGGCUAGUUUGAGAGGUACAUACAUUAUGGGUUACUAUAACAUGUACUUGUGAGAAAGAUCCUUUGUAAAGAGACAUGAACUCAUUGACUGUCCUUUUUUACCCAGAUCCACGAACUCUCGGAAAAACGUUAUACUGGCGUGUCCUAUUUGAGAACAGUAGUUCUUCAAAUUUCUCAGAGUGUAACAGCAUCUGAGAAAACACAGAGGGUGGAAAUACAGCAACAGUUCAAGGUAACUGCGGGACCUGACCUCUGUUACCCAAGCAACGCGGACGCCAUUUUUAGAGAGAUCCUAAGAGACACACUCAUCCCUCAGUUUGACCCGGUUUCCAAUAUCGGUGACACAGUUUUCAGACUCAGUGUUCUUGCGAUCUUCAAAAUCAACGUUCAGUUUAAGGAAGUGCUCGGAGACCGUACCAGCACAGAGUUCAAAAAUAUGGAAAAAAAUAUAACUAGAGUGAUGGAUGAUAUCUCCCUCAACAACUAUAAAUUACCAGUCAUAUAUACAAGAACAAUUGUUAUUGGUAUCAGACCAACAGAAAACAGCAAAAGGCGUAAAAGAAAUGUCAUGGAGACAGAGGUGGAGCUACAGCAGGACUUUGACCCCGCCCCAACUUCCUCCUCGUCCUCCUCGUCCUCCUCUCCAGCUUUCCCCCGGCGUGCUGACAUCUUGGACACGCUGAGGACAGCUGCAGCCAACCCCAGCUUAGGCUUCACAGUGGAUAUAGACUCCAUCAAGAUCACAGAUCCCGUCACAGAAGUUACACCAGGAACUACAUCUGUGCCAUCAGGAAUCACUACUGCUGUUACAUCAGGAACUACUUCAUCUGUGCCGUC
ensembl:lncRNA